UUACGGGCUGCAGCAGUGGGGAAUAUUGGACAAUGGGGGAAACCCUGAUCCAGCAAUGCCGCGUGUGUGAAGAAGGCCUGCGGGUUGUAAAGCACUUUCGGUUGGGAGGACUGCUUCUAGCACUAAUAUUGUUGGAAGUUGACGUUACCUUCAGAAGAAGCACCGGCUAACUCCGUGCCAGCAGCCGCGGUAAUACGGAGGGUGCAAGCGUUAAUCGGAAUUACUGGGCGUAAAGCGCGCGUAGGCGGCUAGAUCAGUCGGGUGUGAAAGCCCCGGGCUUAACCUGGGAACUGCAUCCGAUACUGUCUAGCUUGAGUACAGGAGAGGAGAGUGGAAUUCCACAUGUAGCGGUGAAAUGCGUAGAUAUGUGGAGGAACACCAAUGGCGAAGGCAGCUCUCUGGCCUGAUACUGACGCUGAGGUGCGAAAGCAUGGGGAGCAAACAGGAUUAGAUACCCUUGUAGUC
rnacentral:rRNA from 1 species